CACAGUCGAGUCAAACCGAGCCCCCGUCCCCAUCAUGGCAGGAACUGGCCAAACGGCCACAGCAAGGCCUGCAGCUCAUGGUCCCUGGGCCCUGGGACCUGGGGAUAAGUUCAGCUGCAGAAAAGG